GAUGAACGCUAGCUACAGGCUUAACACAUGCAAGUCGCGGGGCAGCAUGGGGGUUGCUUGCAACUCCCGAUGGCGACCGGCGCACGGGUGAGUAACGCGUAUCCAACCUGCCCUUCACCACGGGAUAACCCGGCGAAAGUCGGACUAAUACCGUAUGUUGUCCAUUGACGGCAUCCGAUUUGGACGAAAGGCUUUGCGGUGGAGGGUGGGGAUGCGUCCGAUUAGCCAGACGGCGGGGUAACGGCCCACCGUGGCUACGAUCGGUAGGGGUUCUGAGAGGAAGGUCCCCCACACUGGAACUGAGACACGGUCCAGACUCCUACGGGAGGCAGCAGUGAGGAAUAUUGGUCAAUGGGCGUAAGCCUGAACCAGCCAAGUAGCGUGCAGGAUGACGGCCCUAUGGGUUGUAAACUGCUUUUAUGCGGGGAUAAAGUGGCCCACGUGUGGGCUUUUGCAGGUACCGCAUGAAUAAGAACCGGCUAAUUCCGUG
rnacentral:rRNA from 1 species